AUCCAGCUAAUGAGUCUCAAAUAGGAUGAAAUGCGCGUCCUGAAU
rnacentral:hammerhead_ribozyme from 1 species